rnacentral:rRNA from 1 species
AUACGGAGGGUGCAAGCGUUACUCGGAAUCACUGGGCGUAAAGCGCGCGCAGGCGGGCUGAUAAGUUGGAUGUGAAAGCCUACGGCUCAACCGUAGAACUGCAUCCAAAACUGUCAGUCUAGAGUCUGGGAGGGGAAGAUGGAAUUAGUUGUGUAGGGGUAAAAUCCGUAGAGAUAACUAGGAAUACCAAAAGCGAAGGCGAUCCUCUGGAACAGUACUGACGCUGAGGCGCGAAAGCGUGGGGAGCAAACAGGAUUAGAAACCCCAGUAGUCC